UACAGAGGUCUCAAGCGUUGUCCGGAUUUAUUGGGUUUAAAGGGUGCGUAGGCGGUUUCUUAAGUCAGUGGUGAAAUACGGCAGCUUAACUGUCGAGGUGCCAUUGAUACUGGGGAACUUGAGUACUGUUGAGGUAGGCGGAAUGGACGGUGUAGCGGUGAAAUGCUUAGAGAUCGUCCAGAACACCGAUAGCGAAGGCAGCUUACCAAAGAGUAACUGACGCUGAGGCACGAAAGUGUGGGGAUCAAACAGG
rnacentral:rRNA from 1 species